CCUACGGGGGGCAGCAGUGGGGAAUAUUGCGCAAUGGGCGAAAGCCUGACGCAGCGACGCCGCGUGAGGGAUGAAGGUCUUCGGAUCGUAAACCUCUGUCAGCAGGGAAGAACGGUCACUGUGCUAAUCAGCAGUGAAUUGACGGUACCUGCAAAGGAAGCACCGGCUAAAUCCGUGCCAGCAGCCGCGGUAAGACGGAGGGUGCGAGCGUUAAUCGGAAUUACUGGGCGUAAAGCGCUCGUAGGCGGUAUGUCAAGUCAAGGGUGAAAUCCCCGCGCUCAACGUGGGAACGGCCUUUGAAACUGGCAAACUGGAGUGUGUGAGAGGAUAGUGGAAUUCCAGGUGUAGGAGUGAAAGCCGUAGAUAUCUGGAGGAACAUCAGUGGCGAAGGCGACUAUCUGGCACAUAACUGACGCUGAGGAGCGAAAGCGUGGGUAGCAAACAGGAUUAGAUACCCUAGUAGUC
rnacentral:rRNA from 1 species